GUCACCUUGGGAUCUUGUUGAAAUGCAGGUUCUGAUCAGUAAGUCUGAGACAGGGCUUGAGAUUCUGCAUUUCUAACAAGCUUCCAAGAGAUGCUGA
rnacentral:pre_miRNA from 1 species